rnacentral:rRNA from 1 species
GGCAGCAGUGAGGAAUAUUGGACAAUGGAGGAAACUCUGAUCCAGCCAUGCCGCGNUGCAGGAUGAAUGCCCUAUGGGUUGUAAACUGCUUUUAUACAGGAAGAAACAUUUCCACGUGUGGAAACUUGACGGUACUGUAAGAAUAAGGAUCGGCUAACUCCGUGCCAGCAGCCGCGGUAAUACGGAGGAUCCAAGCGUUAUCCGGAAUUAUUGGGUUUAAAGGGUCCGUAGGUGGUUAUUUAAGUCAGAGGUGAAAUCCUGCCGCUUAACGGUAGAACUGCCUUUGAUACUGAUUAACUUGAGUUAUUGUGAAGUAGUUAGAAUAUGUAGUGUAGCGGUGAAAUGCAUAGAUAUUACAUAGAAUACCGAUUGCGAAGGCAGAUUACUAACAAUAUACUGACACUGAGGGACGAAAGCGUGGGUAGCGAACAGGAUUAGAUACCCUGGUAGUCCACGCCGUAAACGAUGGUCACUAGCUGUUUGAUUAACAUUGGUUAAUUGAGUGGCUAAGCGAAAGUGAUAAGUGACCCACCUGGGGAGUACGCUCGCAAGAGUGAAACUCAAAGGAAUUGACGG